GAAAAGCAUUCCAAGGUUUGGCUUUUUGAGUGAAAUAGAAUCUCCAUAUUCAUCAUACGCAGAACUCAGGUCAAGUCGAGUGGCAUGACCAACAUCAUUACAUGCAACUCCUUCCCAAGAGCAACAAUCUGUUUUCAGGUCCCACAACUCAGCUUUUGAAGAUGAUACUGGGAAUUUAAGGUUCUCUUGCAGCUGCGCGAAGGCCGAUCUCUGGUCAUCGCGGCAUCGGUGGUGGGCAGCUUUUGUUGCUGUUGACAGAGAUGAAGCGAUACUUGCUUGAUACAAAGAGAGUAGGAACAAGUAAAGAAACAAGAGUAAACGAUGAUGAAAAUCUCUCAUUUUUCCUAUGGCUGAUAAUAUAUAGUAGAGAAAACUCUAGCUGGACAGUUCUUGGAAAUUUCUAUGGCUGUAAAGUCGCAAGACUCAAAUUGAUUGGAUGCAUAGUGUAGAAACAAGAAAAACUCAUACUAAGAAAUUAAUAUGAGAGCAAGUUGAAGAUAUUGUUGAUGGUUAUUGCAUGACUAAGUGGAAGUCAAGUUGGAUCUGAAAGAAUGUUAUCCUUAUUAGAUUCUACAGCCUUCACUUGAUUUCUAGACAAGUUCAUGCAGCUCUAGGGUAUAACUGUUGAAGAAGUCAAGUGUGAAAGACAGUGGAAGUAAUGAAUGUGUAGAAGUUUUACAAGUUCUGUGGACACAACUCACUAAAGGAAAAGCCUUGGAGUAUUCUGCAGCCAACGACUAUGGACUCAGGUUGGUUGGAUUCAUUGAUGAGGGGAAGAAAUGCAGCAGAAAUUAAAUUGGAGAUGUUGAUGGCUCUUGACAGAGCGAAGUAAGGACAGGAUAGUUAAUUUGGAGAUGGUAAUGGUUGCAGACCCACUUGAAGGUCCAAUUUGAAAUAACAUGUCUUUAGGUUUGGUUUUACAAAAAUAAGAAAAAUCUAAUAAACCAGGUUAUAUUCACGACCAGUCAAAUAAAUUUGUUUUAUUUGAAUCAAAUAAAAAUAAAAAUAAAAACAAUAAUAAAAAAAUCACUGUCCAACGAUAAAAUUAAAAAAAAAUAGAAAAAAUAUUAGUUUUUAUUAACUUUUUAAAUUUAUAACCCGGAUUAUCAGACUGAAAGCACCAUACAUAAAAAUAUUAUAUAGCCCCGUCUCUAAGAAAUGAAACAGUGAAGGAAGAAGUCGGAAAAAAAAAUCACAUAAAAAGCUUCAUACUCAUUUUCACUAUUCACUGGAAUAGUGUAAUGAUGAUUUUGGUUUUCUACCAAAAAAAACUUAAUACUAGAUCUAAAGAGCAUAUUCACAUGAUACAUUGAUCAAUUGACUAUGGAUAAAUAAAUAUUUUUCUAUUUUAAUUACAUAGUGAAAUAAUCAUAAUAGCAUUGGAAGAAAAAAAAUAAUAUAUAUAGAGGUUUUUUUUAUUUUCACAAUAAUUUUUAUUAUUAUUAUAAUAGUAGAUAAGAGAUAAUUUGGUAUUUUACAAAACAUUAAAAAAAAAUAAACAGUUAAAAGACACUCCCAAAUGCUCUUAAAAAAAAUUCAAAACUGGAGUAAAGAGGUUUUUUUUUACAAUGGUUUUUUGGUUAUUACUCUAUUAUUAUUGUAUUGCCACAUCACCUGAAGCCAACUAAUUAGCUGCUAAAUUGCUUUUCUAAGGCUCAAGCCUCAAAGUGAAGAAGGAUUAAAUCAAGGUAAUGUAAAGAUAAGUACAAAGUCUAGGGAAGGCCUCGGGAGAGCAGGAGUAGAGCAGCACAGAAGCAAGGAGCAGACACCGAGAAGAAGACCUGCUGUUAACAAAGUCUAACAAUUUCAGGCUAGCUGUAACCCAGAAUUACUUACAGCUAGCUCGAAGUCAGUAGACAUGCCGAUAGAGAUCUCGAGAAGCGUUAAAACAUAAUUCACCUACAUAAUCAGUCUCUAAGGAAUAAACUGAGUCCUUACAAGCAUUUGAAAUUAAGCAAAAGAUUAAACGAAUAUUGCAGAAUUCAACAAAGAAGAAGACUAGAACAAGAUUUGAAUAGUUCGAGUAUAUGAUUUUCUAGCUAAUUAAUUAAAGAUACAUAGCGAAUAUUUUCUACCACACUUCAUAGGAAAAUCUAAGACUUAAAAUAAUGGUAAUAGUAAAGGAUGAUCAAAGACCUUGUCAGACUCGAUCCGGAGACUGACUUGAAAAAGAUUUAUAUAUAAUUUAAGGUUUCAGAAACCCUUUCCUAUCUUUGGCUUUCACUGUACACUGCAUCAAUAAGUGUAUAUGAGAGAUUCAUUACAGCAAGGAAUGUCAGCCUUGUAAGUUGAGGAGGAAUCUCCGCAGAUAGCUGGUUCUUUGAGAGAUCUAAGGACUCAACCUCCGUUAGGUUCAUCAUUGAUGACGGAAUUUGGCCAAGGAAGUUACUGUGAGAUGAGUUUGAGGUACCUUAUCUCUUCAGGAAUUUCCCCAUGGAAUUUGUUCUCAGAGAGAUCAAGACAGGGGGAAACGGUCAGUGUUCUCUCCAUGUGCACUUCCAACCCUUUGUUCAUAAUAACUACCACUACCACAAUCUUUAUAUUUACCGAUGUAUUUUUUGUCGAUAUUUGUACUACUAUUUCAUUAGUAAUUAAUUUAUUGAUGGAAUUAUAGAGGAAUUGCUCCGUCGAUGAAUUUUUCGUCGGUAAUUUUUUGUCUGUCGGUAAGUUUGUUAACAAUAAAAAAAUAUUAUUACCGAUGGAUUAACUGAUGAAAAAGGCACGGAAAAAAAUUACUUGCUUCAUUUCAUCGGUAUUUCCCACGGAAAAAUACCGUAUGUUAUUCCAUCGGUGAUUAUUUUUUAAAAAAAUUAUUUUACAAAACUAUAAAAUAAUUAAAUUAAUAUAAAUCAACACUCUAUCUAAAAAAUCAUUUUUCAUCUAAACACAUGCCAACCAGAUGCAUGAGAUUUGCUUAAUACCAAACAACAAUUUGCUUAUUUGGGAAAAAAAAAAAAAAGUGGUGCACAGGCCUUAAGCAAGCAAGCAAAAAAAAAAACCUUUAGUUUUUUGAAAGUAUGAUAAAAAAAAAAAAGAGGAUUCCUUGUCUAAAAUAAAGAAAAAAAACUUUAAAAAACAAGCAAACAAUGAAAUAAUUACUUAAUUUUUUUUUAAUUUUAAGGGGUUGAAAAUGCAUCAAAUUAAUUUUUUUAAAAAGAAAAAGAAAAAAUAGGCCAUACAUUAAAUUAAAUAAUAUUCUAAUAAAAAAACCACCAUAAAUAAGCUAAUAAAGAUUUUUUUAAAAAUGAAGGAUGAAAUCAUAAAGAAAAAAUAAAAAGAAUUAAAAAAAAAAUGCAAGCAUACUAGCCUGGCCAAUCCAAGUCGGCAUGGUAAAUUUAUGACUCGAGUCAUGAGGUUGGGUUAUCUUUAUAUAAAUUAAAUUUAAAAAAAACUAAAGAGCUCGAUCCUUAAUAAAAUAAAUGUUGAAGGAUGAACUUGAAAAAGAAAAUAAGUUAAAAAAAUAUCAAUGUCAAUUCAAGUCAUGCGACCAAAUCUAAUAUAAAAAUCAAAUUAAAUUAAUACCAAUAAAAUAUUAAAGAAUAAAACUAAAAAGAAAAUUAAAAAAGGAUGGAAAGAAAGAAAAAAGCAAUUGAAAGAACUCUUUUUUUAUAUCCCAAAAGACAAAAUUAACCUUCAUUCACAUUGUAUACUAUGAAAAAACCAGGGUAAAAAGUCUGAAAAACACUUAGAUAGUAGUUUAAAAUUUGUUGGUUAUAAGGGUAUGUUAGUACUUACAAUGUGAAAUAAAAUGGAAAUGACAAAAAAACACUUUCAUGGCAAUUAUUUCUUUACUUUAUUUUAAGGGUACUACAGUAUUUUUAAUUUUUUUUUUUUUUUUUUUUGGUGUGACAAAACAACAAUGACCUAUGUGUUUCUUUGGAAAGAUAACCUUAUCCCGAAACCGAGGUAAUUGUUUUUUGAGUGGAGAUGCAAAAUGAUUAUUUCAUAGCAAUUUCAAUUAAUAUAUAACUUGCGUUACAGUGAAAAAGUCACGUCCAAUAGAUUGUUUUUAAUGUAUUGGCUUAAAACUCACCGAAAACGCACUGAAAGCAAAAACUUUCUUUAUAAUUCUCAAACGAAAGAUUAUGAAGGGGAAAUUCAAAUUCAAAUUCAUGAGAUACAUACUACUAAAGGAAAAGCUCUGUAAAGGCACGAACAAGGAUCACCACACAAAGACACAAUCUGACCAGAUUGCUGAUUAUUGCAGCACUUGUUACAAUCUGAAUGGCCCACCAUCUUUUAUUGUCGAAAAUACAAAAGCAAUAUCGGCAGCUUAAAGAGAAAAACACGUGAAUCUAGUUUUUAGUUUUACUAAUUCUUCAGGAGCAGUAAAUUUAAACAUAAGCUUAAAUGACAAUAUGACACUCCAUUCCUCAUCAAUAUGAUGCAUCAAUGACUUGCAACCUGCAAUCAAGAGUAAUUCAUUCAGUGUUUAGAAUUUAAUAACUUAACCCCAUGAUUUUUUUAUUUUUUUUGGCAUAUGUCUACUUAGUUCAGAAAGCUUGACAAAAUUUUAUUCAUCAAGAAAAAGAAGAUAAAAGGAAUUUUUACCUGGAGAUAAUAACUUAUAUGCAGCAUUCACCAGCAUCAACUUCAUCACCAACUUUGAAGACUCCUCUGGCCUUGGUUGAACCAUCUCUCUCUGUUUCCUGCUAGCCUUAUGAGAUCAGUAAACCAUUUGAUUCUCAUCUCACUUAAUAUUGUGUAUCCUACAGAGAAACCAAUUACUAUUCCACUUGCAUAUCCAAUCCCCACAAUUUUCCAGUCAAGUAUAUACUCUGUCCAUGAAUCCUCGUGGUCGCCUGGAGGAGUACCAGGUUCAUUCACUUCAGGAUUGCAUUUCCUUUUCAAAGGAAAUCCGCAUAGCCUUGGGUUCCCCUCAUAAGAAGAAUCGGGAAAUAUAUCAAAUUGGUUGCCUUGUGGUAUCCUUCCUUCGAGAUGGUUAUAUGACAGAUUCAUUACAGCAAGGAAUGUCAACCUUGAAAGUUGAGGAGGAAUCUCCCCUGAGAGGAGGUUGCUUGACAGGUCCAAGGACUCCAGCUCUCUCAGGUCACUCAAUGAUGACGGGAUUUGACCAAGGAAGUUAUUAUGAGACAAGGUGAGGACGAUGAGUGAUUUGAGAAUCCUUAUCUCUUCAGGAAUUUCUCCAUGGAAACUAUUGUUGGAGAGAUCAAGACAAGUGAACAAGGUUAUUAUUCUAUCCAUAUGCAUUUUCAGCCCCUUCAUCGUAAUAGUUACCGACUCCUUGUAGUGUCCAUUGAUAUUGUAGUUAUCUCCAACAUACCUUGCCCUCGACUCAUUGUUGGAGGUCAACUGCAUCCCCCCUAAACUUUGAACGAAUUCCUUCAAGAGAUUGCCAGUGAACUCAUUGGAAGACAGGUCCAUAACAUGCAACAUUGGCCAAGUAGUCGCAGUACCACGAUUUCCAAUUGGACCAUAAAAUUUAUUUGCUUGGAGUACCAGAAUUUUUAGUGCAGGCAGCUUCUCCAACCAUACUGGAAAUGUGUCACGUAUCAUGUUGCCUCCAAGAUCCAAAACCUCUAGCUUUGAACAAUUGGCUAAGGAGCGCGGCAACUUCCCUUCCACUUUAUUGUCACUGAUUUUAAGAGACAGCAGAUUACUUGCUAUCGCAUAACUUGAAAUGGAAUCGAAGUUAUUUCCUUGUAGAUUCAGCACCGUGAGGGUAGGAACUUUUCCCAAACAAUCAGGGAUUUGACUUCUAAGGUGGUUAUGGGACAUGUCAAGCAAAGAGAGUUGACUGCAAUUGCAUAUAGCUUUUGGGAUUGAACCGGGCAAUUGAUUGGCAUGAAGAUCAAGAGUAAUAAGAGUAUCUGAGUAGGGGAGGGAGAUGGGAUUGGAGAACUGGUCUAAAAAAUCAAAUUUGUUGCAAGAAAGGUUUAGAUAUUUUAGACUCAUGUUCCAUAUCCACUUGGGUAUAUGACCAACGAGUUUGUUGUCUGAAAGGUCAAGAUUUAUUAGCUUCUCUUGGUUCUUUAUAAACUCUGGAAAGCUACCUGUUAUGUUACAGGAUGACAUUCCCAAAUUCUCUAACGUCAUGGGAAAGGAAGAAACUCCAUCUUCAUUGUAGAUUGGUGUGCUAUGGUUUACCUUGACAAAAGGAGGAAUUUUCGGAAAAUCAACAGGAUUGCGGGAAAGGUAUAAUGUGGUGAGAGUUGUUUUCCAAAUCCAACUAGGGACGUAACCUUGAAUUCUGUUGUUGGAAAGAUCUAGAACAGUCAAACUGUUUUGUGUUUUGAGGAAAUUUGGAAAUUCAGUCAAGUUGCAAGAGGGCAAAUACAAAGUUGCGAGCUGGACAUAAGCAAGGCUGCUGUUAUCACUCUCAACUGACACAUCAGAAAGUGCAAGGUAUACUAAAUCCCUCUGAUUCUUGAAAUCACCAAGCUUCAAGGGGCCAGAAAAUUUGUUAUUUUGAAGAUCAAGUUCUAUAAGGCUGGGGAGAUUGAAGAUUGACCUUGGUAUUGAUCCGCUCAAAUUAUUGUUACUCAACUCUAUCGUCAGCAAUGAAGAAGAUGCAUCUGAAAACUCAUCUAGUUUGCCGCUUAAUUGGUUUGAACUGAGAUCUAAUUGCUGCAAGGAUGGAAGAGUAAAUAGAGAAGAAUAUAGGAUUCCGUUAAGCUGGUUAUGCUCCAAGAAAAGGAAUGAAAGGUUUGCAACUCCAUCUCUUUGAAAUGGAGGAAUGGAACCGUUGAAACUAUUAAAUGAAAGAUCCAGAGUUUCAAGUUGGGUGAGGUUUGCAAGUGAUGGUGGGAUAACUCCAUAAAAUUUGCACAUACCCAGGUCUAGUUCUUUCAAGGACUUGAGAUUGCUGAUUGACAGUGGGAUGUUCCCAGAAAAGUUUGUGUUCUUGAGUAACAAGGAUUGAAUAGAACUAUUCAAUGAGAAUUCUGGAAACUGACCUGAAAGGAGUAAAUUUUCAGAGAGAUCAAUGUGCUGUAGUUUUGGCAACAGGAAAAUGUUGUUUGGAAAACUCCCAUUCAAGCCACAAUUUGAUAAGUCAAGAGUUUCCAAGUUGGAGGAAUUUGCUAAGAAACUGGGUGGAAUGGAAGAGAGUUCAGAAUUGCUGUCAAGAUGGAGUUCAGAGAGAAAAUGGAGUUUUGAGAGAGAGGAACAAAGAGGACCAGAAAUACCAGAGCUAGACAAACUCAAGACUCUGAGGUUGGGAAGCACAUGGGAGAUGACUUCACACCAAUUGCUACCUUGUGCUGAAAUGUUUACAUAAUCAAGAUUGAGCUCUACUAGAAAACUGAGAUUCUGGAAAAGCAUUCCAAGGUUUGGCUUUUUAAGUGAAAUAGAAUCUCCAUAUUCAUCAUACGCAGAAAUCAGGUCAAGUCGAGUGGCACGACCAACAUCAUUACAUGUAACUCCUUCCCAAGAGCAACAAUCUGUUUUCAGGUCCCACAACUCAGCUUUUGAAGAUGAUAAUGGGAAUUUAAGGUUCUCUUGCAGCUGCGCGAAGGCCGAUCUCUGGUCAUCGCGGCAUCGGUGGUGGGCAGCUUUUGGUGCUGUUGACAGAGAUGAAGCGAUACUUGCUUGAUA
rnacentral:lncRNA from 1 species